rnacentral:rRNA from 1 species
UACGAAGGGGGCUAGCGUUGCUCGGAAUCACUGGGCGUAAAGGGUGCGUAGGCGGGUCUCUAAGUCAGGGGUGAAAUCCUGGAGCUCAACUCCAGAACUGCCUUUGAUACUGAGGAUCUUGAGUACUGGAGAGGAGAGCGGAAUUCCCGGUGUAGAGGUGAAAUUCGUAGAUAUCGGGAGGAACACCAGUGGCGAAGGCGGCUCUCUGGACAGAUACUGACACUGAGAUGCGAAAGCGUGGGAAGCAAACAGG